ACGUGGGUAAUCUGCCCUGCACUUCGGGAUAAGCCUGGGAAACUGGGUCUAAUACCGGAUAUGACCACGGAACGCAUGUUUUGUGGUGGAAAGCUUUUGCGGUGUGGGAUGGGCCCGCGGCCUAUCAGCUUGUUGGUGGGGUGACGGCCUACCAAGGCGACGACGGGUAGCCGGCCUGAGAGGGUGUCCGGCCACACUGGGACUGAGAUACGGCCCAGACUCCUACGGGAGGCAGCAGUGGGGAAUAUUGCACAAUGGGCGCAAGCCUGAUGCAGCGACGCCGCGUGGGGGAUGACGGCCUUCGGGUUGUAAACCUCUUUCAGCAGGGACGAAGCGCAAGUGACGGUACCUGCAGAAGAAGCACCGGCCAACUACGUGCCAGCAGCCGCGGUAAUACGUAGGGUGCGAGCG
rnacentral:rRNA from 1 species